AAGUCGUAACAAGGUUUCCGUAGGUGAACCUGCGGAAGGAUCAUUAUUGAAAACAAGGGUGUCCAAUUUAACUUGGAACCCAAACUUCUCAAUUCUAACUUUGUGCAUCUGUAUUAAUGGCGAGCAACUCCGGUUGUGAGCCUUCACUUACAAAACACUAGUCUAUGAAUGUAAAAUUUUUAUAACAAAUAAAAACUUUCAACAACGGAUCUCUUGGCUCUC
rnacentral:misc_RNA from 1 species